rnacentral:lncRNA from 1 species
CUCAGUCUGUAAAAGCCUCAGGCACUCCACUGCAACCCCUAAGAGCAGCCAUGUAGGUAGCGCUCAGCAAAGCCAUAGGGGAAGCCUGAGGCAUUGGGAGCCCAUCCCUCAAACCAAUGUGCCCAGAAUGCAGGACAUGGAGUCAAAGUUUAUUUUGGAGCUUUCAGAUUUAAUGUCUGCCCUACUGGGUUUCAGACUUGUGAGGGCCUGUUAACCUUUCUUUUGGCCAGUUUCUCCCUUUGGAAAUGAAAAUGUUUACCUAAUGCCUGUACAACCAUUGCAUCUCAAAAUUAAAUAACUUGUUUUUGAUUUUACAGGCCCAUAGCUGGAAGGAAUUUGCCCUGAGUCUCAGAUGAGACUUUGGACUUUGGACUUUUAAGCUGGUGUUGGAACAAGUUAAUGCUUUUGGGACUAUGAAUUUUGCAAGGGAUAACAUGAAUGUAGUUCCUCACUACCAUAAAUUAUGCAGUCGAGUUUCCUGCACCUGGGAGAAUCGCAGGAGUAAGCACAGCUAUGGGGUGCAAUGAGUGAGCCUCACCCUGGGAAACCACCUUCAUGAUCAUGGCAUCUCCCCUGCCCGGUGUUUACAGAAGCUUUAUUUAUAAUUGCUCAAACUUGGAAGGGCACUCAGUUCUCAAGCGAUUCCUGCUAUCUUCUCCUUCAGCUUCACCCAUCGGAGGGAUAUGCUUGGAAGACUGUGAGGAAACCCCACAAAGCAAGGAGGGUUAAACUGGGUUUUAAACUCAGUGUGUAAGUGAAGGAACUGACUCAACCCAAGAAGACAGCUUUGACCCCCUGUGAUUUCACCUCCAAUCCAACCAAUCAGCACUCCUGACUCACUGGAUUUCCUGCACCCACCAAAUUAUCAUUGAAAACUCCAAUCCCUGUAUGCUUGAAUGCUUGGGGAGACUGAAUUGAGUAAUAAUAAAGCUCUGGCCUCCCACACAGCUGGCUCUGCGUGAAUUACUCUUUCUCUAUUGCAAUUCCCUAUAUUGAUAAAUUGGCUUUGUCUAGGCAGCAGGCAAGGUGAACCCAUUGGGCAGUUACA